AGAGGUCCCAAGCCGUUGUUCGGAUUCAUUGGGCGUAAAGGGUGCGUAGGCGGCGCGGUAAGUCGGGUGUGAAAUCUCGGAGCUUAACUCCGAAACUGCAUUCGAUACUGCCGUGCUUGAGGACUGGAGAGGAGACUGGAAUUUACGGUGUAGCGGUGAAAUGCGUAGAUAAUCGUAAGGAAGACCAGUGGCGAAGGCGGGUCUCUGGACAGGUUCCUGACGCUGAGGCACGAAGGCCAGGGGAGCAAACGGG
rnacentral:rRNA from 1 species